rnacentral:rRNA from 1 species
UGGGGAAUAUUGCACAAUGGGCGCAAGCCUGAUGCAGCCAUGCCGCGUGUGUGAAGAAGGCCUUCGGGUUGUAAAGCACUUUCAGCGAGGAGGAAGGUGGUGAGCUUAAUACGCUCAUCAAUUGACGUUACUCGCAGAAGAAGCACCGGCUAACUCCGUGCCAGCAGCCGCGGUAAUACGGAGGGUGCAAGCGUUAAUCGGAAUUACUGGGCGUAAAGCGCACGCAGGCGGUUUGUUAAGUCAGAUGUGAAAUCCCCGGGCUCAACCUGGGAACUGCAUUUGAAACUGGCAAGCUAGAGUCUCGUAGAGGGGGGUAGAAUUCCAGGUGUAGCGGUGAAAUGCGUAGAGAUCUGGAGGAAUACCGGUGGCGAAGGCGGCCCCCUGGACGAAGACUGACGC